CCUAUGGGGUGCAGCAGUCGCGAAAACUUCACAAUGCACGAAAGUGUGAUGAGGGGAUUCUGAGUGCUCACGGUUUUCCGUGGGCUUUUCACUAGGGUAAAUACCUAGUGGAAUAAGUGGUGGGCAAGACUGGUGCCAGCCGCCGCGGUAACCCCAGCGCCACAAGUGGGAACCAUCAUUAUUGGGUCUAAAGCAUCCGUAGCCGGUUCAGCAAAUGCCCUGUGAAAUCGUUGUGCUCAACGCAACGGCGUGCAGGGUACACUACAGAACUAGAGACCAGGGGAAGGAGACAGUAUUCCAGAGGGAGCGGUAAAAUGUGAUAAUCUCUGGAGGACUAUCGAUGGCGAAGGCAGUCUCCUAAAAUGGAUCUGACGGUGAGGGAUGAAAGCCAGGGGAGCGAUCCGGAUUAGAUACCCGAGUAGUCCUGGCCGUAAACGCUGCAUGCCAGAUGUUGCACAAUCUCCGAGAUUGUGCAGUGUCGAAACGAAGGUGUUAAGCAUGCCACCUGGGAAGUACAGUCGCAAGAUCGAAACUUAAAGGAAUUGGCGGGGGAGCACCACAAGGGGUGCGGCGUGCGGUUUAAUCGAAUUCAACGCCGAGAAUCUCACCAGAGGCGCCGGCAGGAUGAAGCUCAGUCUGAAGGGCUUAGCUGACGAGCCGAGAGGAGGUGCAUGGCC
rnacentral:rRNA from 1 species